GAUGAAGAACGCAGCGAAAUGCGAUAAGUAGUGUGAAUUGCAGAAUUUAGUGAAUCAUCGAAUCUUUGAACGCACAUUGCGCCCCUCGGUAUUCCGUGGGGCAUGCCUGUUCGAGCGUCAUUUAACCCCUCAAGCCUAGCUUGGUAUUGGGUGCUUGUCCCGCCUCUCGCGCGGCGACUCACCUCAAAGUCAUUGGCAGCCCGCAUCUCGCCGGCCGUGAGCGCAGCACAGACGCGCUCUUGGCAACGACGGAUCGGCUCUCCAAAAGCUUAUUUCAACCACUGACCUCGGAUCAGGUAGGGAUACCCGCUGAACUUAAGCAUAUCAAUAAGCGGAGGA
rnacentral:misc_RNA from 1 species